AAGUGUCACAGAAAUGGGGAGGGGUGGGUGGUGAAGAACUCCUGGAGAGGGAGAGAAUCUGAGAGACUGUUUCAGGAAGAACAAGACUAGCUGAUGUGGCUCAGCAGGGGAACAGAAGGGGGCUACCAAGAUGUUGAAGAAAGGAGAAACGUGACUGGCUCAGCAAGGAUAGAGAACUUUAUCAAAGUCACCUCCACCAACAAGGACAAGAAUCAGAGCACCUGGCUUCCACUGAAAGACAGACACAACCCAAGGGACCUGGGAACCACAUUUGAGCAUAGAGCUGAGUUUCAUAAAGUUGAUUUCCUGAAAGAACAUUCUAUCUACUUCUCCAUCAGAAGGUUAUUGAGACACAAUUGGGUAGCACUAUUGUUUACAUUGUAAAAUUCCAGGUCAUCAAGCUGAGUCAAGUUUCAAACCCAGCAGUAAAAAGAAUAGCAGAGCAUUCUCAAAGGAGCUCUAAAAGACAGCUACCCCCAAGUGACACAAUCCCAGCUCCUGACAGCCAGAGGAGCAACAGGGAGAAGAACCAAAAACAAAAUUCAAAUAUAAAAUUGGAGGGAAAAGAUGACAGAGAAUUAUACCAACGUUUAAUGCCAUGGAUACAGCUGGUGGCAAGAGCCCUCCCUAUUCAAACCAGGCUUCCAGAAACAUGAAGAAAAGUGCCAAGACAGAGAUUUUAAACAGUCGUCUCCUUGAUACUCAAAGUGUGGCCCACAGAGCAGCAGUAAUGGUGUUGCUUGUUGGAAAUGCAGAAUUUGGGGCCUCACCCAGACCUACUGAAUCAGAAUUUGCAUUUUAACAAAUAUGCAGGACAACUCUAGCUGCUGUUUGAAAAUACACUCUUUAAGGAUACAACAUAAAGAAAGAAAUAACAGAUGAUACCAAUGUUCAUGGCUAAAGCAACUGGAAGAUUCGGGGAUAUGUAAGUGUCGCAGCUUAUGGAAGGAAGAUCAACAGUUCACUUUGUACACGUUGGGUUUGAGAGGUCUGCUAGACAGCCAGAUGGAGGAUGCCAAAUAGAAGACUUCAGAGGUGAGGUCCUGAGAUUGAACAAGAAUCCCUAGAGGAGAAGUAGAGGUUGAUAAGAGGCACUCCAAGAAGAGGUUGUGGAGAAUAAUGACUGGAAGAGAUUGAGAAGGAGCAACCACUGAGACAGGGAAGAGAGCCAAGACCCAGCCAAGCAGGACGAAUCAUUUUAUUUGCCCAUUCUAUGGCACGAUAAAAUGUUGAAGAAUUAAUCAGUGGACUGUUGCAUUUUAUUUUUGUUUCUCUGUGUCAGAAGGUUGAUGUUUUUCCCUUUUUUAC